AGCGUUGUUCGGAAUUACUGGGCGUAAAGCGCGUGUAGGCGGCUGCCCAAGUCGGGUGUGAAAGCCUUGAGCUCAACUCAAGAAAUGCACUCGGUACUGGGUGACUAGAGGACCGGAGAGGAUAGUGGAAUUCCCAGUGUAGUGGUGAAAUACGUAGAGAUUGGGAAGAACACCAGUGGCGAAGGCGGCUAUCUGGACGGUUUCUGACGCUAAGACGCGAAAGCGUGGGGAGCAAACAGG
rnacentral:rRNA from 1 species